rnacentral:piRNA from 1 species
GGCAGAUAAAGAAUAUUGAAGCUCCG